AGUGAACGCUGGCGGUAGGCCUAACACAUGCAAGUCGAACGGCAGCACAGUAAGAGCUUGCUCUUACGGGUGGCGAGUGGCGGACGGGUGAGGCAUACAUCGGAAUCUACUUUUUCGUGGGGGAUAACGUAGGGAAACUUACGCUAAUACCGCAUACGACCUACGGGUGAAAGCAGGGGAUCUUCGGACCUUGCGCGAUUGAAUGAGCCGAUGUCGGAUUAGCUAGUUGGCGGGGUAAAGGCCCACCAAGGCGACGAUCCGUAGCUGGUCUGAGUGGAUGAUCAGCCACACUGGAACUGAGACACGGUCCAGACUCCUACGGGAGGCAGCAGUGGGGAAUAUUGGACAAUGGGCGCAAGCCUGAUCCAGCCAUACCGCGUGGGUGAAGAAGGCCUUCGGGUUGUAAAGCCCUUUUGUUGGGAAAGAAAAGCAGCAGGUUAAUACCCCGCUGUUCUGACGGUACCCAAAGAAUAAGCACCGGCUAACUUCGUG
rnacentral:rRNA from 1 species